rnacentral:rRNA from 1 species
AGGGUGAGAGCCCCGUGCGGCACGCGUCUAAGCUUUAAGACCCUUCUGACGAGUCGAGUUGUUUGGGAAUGCAGCUCUAAGUGGGUGGUAAAUUCCAUCUAAGGCUAAAUACUGGCGAGAGACCGAUAGCGAACAAGUACUGUGAAGGAAAGAUGAAAAGCACUUUGAAAAGAGAGUGAAACAGCACGUGAAAUUGUUGAAAGGGAAGGGUAUUGGGCUCGACAUGGGGACUGCGCACCGUUGCUUCUUGUAGGCGGCGCUCUGUGCGGUUUCUGGGCCAGCAUCAGUUUUUGCCGCGGGAGAAUGGGGGGAGGAACGUGGCUCUUCGGAGUGUUAUAGCCUCUCUCAGAUGCCGCGAGCGGGGACUGAGGUCUGCGAUUCGUUCAAGGAUGCUGGCACAACGGCGCAAUACCGCCCGUCUUGAAACACGGACCAAGGA